rnacentral:other from 1 species
AUCACCCUGCUGUGCAUCGUGUUGCUGCUACCUCGUUUUGAGCCAACACCCACUCAUUGGGUUUCAAUAUUCCGUGCGUGACGCGAUAGGCUUAAGCCAAGGCGGAGCGGCCGGGGAGGAACCCCACCUGCGAAGGCAGGUUCAAAACUCGGCGCACACGGCACAGUGGGGUCUUU